rnacentral:rRNA from 1 species
UAAGCGUACACGGUGGAUGCCUUGGCAGUCAGAGGCGAUGAAGGACGUAUUAACUUGCGAUAAGCCCAGAUUAGGCAGUAAAAGCCACUUGAGUCUGGGAUUUCCGAAUGGGGAAACCCACUAGCAUAAGCUAGUAUCGCUGCGUGAAUACAUAGCGCAGCGAGAUUCCGAAAGUAGCGGCGAGCGAAAUUGGACUAGCCCUUAAGCUUUACACGCGUUAGACGAACGGUCUGGAAAGUCCGACGAUACAGGGUGAUAGUCCCGUAGUUGACGACGUGUGUUCAGUGAAAUCGAGUAGGGCGGGACACGUGAUAUCCUGUCUGAAUAUGGGGGGACCAUCCUCCAAGGCUAAAUACUACUGACUGACCGAUAGUGAACCAGUACCGUGAGGGAAAGGCGAAAAGAACCCCUGUGAGGGGAGUGAAAUAGAACCUGAAACCGUGUACGUACAAGCAGUAGGAGCAGGCUUUGUCCUGUGACUGCGUACCUUUUGUAUAAUGGGUCAGCGACUUAUAUUCAGUGGCAAGGUUAACCAUCUAGGGGAGCCGUAGGGAAACCGAGUCUUAACUGGGCGUUCAGUCUCUGGAUAUAGACCCGAAACCAGGUGAUCUAGCCAUGGGCAGGUUGAAGGUUGAGUAACAUCAACUGGAGGACCGAACCGACUAAUGUUGAAAAAUUAGCGGAUGACUUGUGGCUAGGGGUGAAAGGCCAAUCAAACCUGGAGAUAGCUGGUUCUCCCCGAAAGCUAUUUAGGUAGCGCCUCGGACGAAUACUACUGGGGGUAGAGCACUGUUAAGGCUAGGGGGUCAUCCCGACUUACCAACCCUUUGCAAACUCCGAAUACCAGUAAGUACUAUCCGGGAGACACACGGCGGGUGCUAACGUCCGUCGUGGAGAGGGAAACAACCCAGACCGCCAGCUAAGGUCCCAAAUUACUACUAAGUGGGAAACGAUGUGGGAAGGCUCAGACAGCCAGGAUGUUGGCUUAGAAGCAGCCAUCAUUUAAAGAAAGCGUAAUAGCUCACUGGUCGAGUCGGCCUGCGCGGAAGAUGUAACGGGGCUAAGUAGUAAACCGAAGCUGCGGCAAUAUACUUUUGUAUAUUGGGUAGGGGAGCGUUCUGUAAGCGGUUGAAGGUGUGUGGUAACGCAUGCCUGUCCAACGUUAAUCGGGGCAGGGUAAGUCGACCCCUAAGGCGAGGCCGAAAGGCGUAGUCGAUGGGAAACGGGUUAAUAUUCCCGUACUUCUUACAAUUGCGAUGGGGGGACGGAGAAGGCUAGGUGGGCCUGGCGACGGUUGUCCAGGUUCAAGUGCGUAGGCUUAAGAGUUAGGUAAAUCCGGCUCUUUUUAAGGCUGAGACACGACGUCGAGCACCUACGGGUGUGAAGUCAUUGAUGCCAUGCUUCCAGGAAAAGCCUCUAAGCUUCAGAUUGUAAGGAAUCGUACCCCAAACCGACACAGGUGGUCGGGUAGAGAAUACCAAGGCGCUUGAGAGAACUCGGGUGAAGGAACUAGGCAAAAUGGUACCGUAACUUCGGGAGAAGGUACGCUCUCGACGGUGAAGUCCCUUGCGGAUGGAGCUAUU